rnacentral:lncRNA from 1 species
CCGGGAGGCAGAGGUUGCAGUGAGCCGAGAUGGUACCACUGCACUCCAGCCUGGGCAAUAGGGCAAGACUCCGUCUCAAAAAACAAACAAAAACAAAACAAAACAAAACAAAACAGUAUCUCAUGUUUCUUAUUGGCUGUGACCAAGUAACUUCAUUGCUUUCAACCUUGGAUCUGCUCACCUGUAGAACUGAGACAUUAUUUGUUGUGAGAUUUAAAAAAGAAACAUGUUCAUUUCCUUCCUUUGGGGCUCGGAAGGAAUCAGAUGGGCGUCUUGCAGCUCCGAUCCUGAUGAAGAAUUGUAGCUGCUGUGCCUCAAGACAGAUAAGCACAGGUCGUCCCAGAGGGGAUGCCACCUUGGGGACUGUGAACCUCCGCUGAGGCCAGGCCAUGCCCUGCCCUGUGUCUGUAUCUGGAACUGCGGGAUUUCUCUGAUCUGCCAGGGAAAGGCCUGCCACCUCGUGGCCACUUCAGGAACUGCUCCAAAGGCAGUCUGCUCUUGGGAACCUACCUGGUCAGGUAGCUCCUUGAGGUCUGGAACUGCACCACAGUGCAAGUUAUCUUCACGUGGAGGUGAAGCUGCCUGUAUGGAAGACUCUUGGAUCAGUCGUCUGAGCACAUGUCCAGCAAUGGGCAUGGGUGGGCUAGCCAGGGACUGGGGGUGCCGGAAGAGCCGACUGUACAGCACGUGGUGCCCCUAACAAGGAUUGAGUGGUGUUUUUAAAAAGAAAAAAAGGUCGUGCAGAUGGUCUGACAGUCUGUCGACCGUGGGCGCGGUGCUCAUAGCAGCUGAGCACUGCCGGGGUACCAGGCUGUGUGCUGGGUGCUUCAAAGAUGUCCUCUUGUGGAUCAGCCCAUCUGUGGCGAGGAGGGGACCGGGCUCAGCCAGGUUAGGUGACUUGCACAAGGUCAUGUGGGUGAAAGGAAGGCAGAACUCUUGUGUAUUUCUCCUGACCCCAGAUUCUGCGUCAAGGCUGAAGCCAGAACCCACACGUGUCCAGCGCAGGGUGAUUGCUGCCAUGAGCUGCAUUGCUGUGAUCCUCUGGCGAGGGCGUGGAUUUUCAUCCUUUUAUUCAAUUUUGAAAGAAGCAAAUUUAGAAAGAUACGAUAUGAUGGGUGUGGCAGACAGAAUUCUAAAGGUGGGCCCACUGAUUCGUACCCCUGGCUGUUCAGUUAAACACUAGCCUAGGUGCUGCUGUGCAGGGACUUUGACGAAGGAAUGAAAGUCCCAAGCCAUCUGACCUUGAGAUCAGAGAUUAUCUGGUGGGCUUGACCUCAUGAGCCUAAUGAAAGCAGGGAGCUUUUCCAGCUGUCAGCAGAAAAGAAGGUCAAAUUCAAUGUGUGAGAAAGGCUGGAAUUAACAUUGCUGGUUUGAAGGAGGAAGGGGUUGUGUGAGAAGGUGUGUGAGUGACUUAUAGGAGCAGAGAGUGGCCCCCAGCCAUGGAAUGAGGACCCCAGGUCUGCAGGCACCAGGAGCUGGACUUUCAGGGCCACCUGAAUGCACCCAGAAGCGGAUUCUCCUCCAGAGCCUCCAGUUGCUAUAAUCAACAUCCCUGGACCCAUCGCGCAGAAGAAACUAAGGUUCCCAGGUUAAGAGACUUGCCUGGAAAAGGGUUAACUGACAGCUUGGCAGCAGAGCCACCGCUCCUUCCCCCUUGCAUGCUGGUUCCAAACCGAAAAUGAUGUUCUGGGCCUUGCACAGAGGAGUGCUUGGUGAACAUUUGGUGGAG